ensembl:lncRNA
GAGAGAGCCAGAAUGAGGCCAACGCAGCCCAUCCGGAGCCGUUUCAUUGCUGGAUGCAGAGCAGUCUGCACGGUGUGAGCGCUCUCCAUGGAUGGCUUUGCAUUCCCCUUUGCUAUCCUACACUCCCCUCCAAAUUAGCAGGAACUUUGGAAUCCUUCGUCUCCAUGUGCACCCUUCAGUGCAGCAGGGUGUGCGCACGGAGCAGCCGUGCGGAUGGCAAAUAACACGAGCAGGCCACGUGAAGAUUCCCCUUGGAGAGCACUGUGUGCAUCGCCGGGGAUACCAGGAGCCUGCUGGAAUGUGGAGAGGUUUGCUUUCUUCACGAUAAAGCCUCGAAGAAGUGCUCUUGGAACAUGCCAGCACGGAUUAGAGCACUGCGGCUCAACGUCUGCACGACGACGGCUGAGUUCAAAGCAGCGAAGCAUUGGCUUUCCUUCCCUGGAUGGGUCCCAGGGCAGCUCUGAAAGCUCUGCUCACUCCCUGCUCCAUCUCUGGGUCUCUCCAUCCCCUCCAGGCACCCCCUGAGCUCCACCACCCCCAGCACUCCCAGCACUGGAAGGAGACUUUUGUCAGCCUUCUUAACGAGGCAGAAUUGCCUCACUUCCUCAGAUAUGGAAAUGCCUCUUUGUUAAAGCAAGGCCCCGUCCCUUAUCUCUGGGUUUGGACAGCUCUGCUUUUGGCACUUUGCUGUGUGAAAGGACUCCACGCACCUCAACGUGCACACAAAGCCAGGAUCCAACGGGGGAAAAGUUUGCAACUCAGGAUUGGCUCCGAGCAGAGCAGGAGUGACCCCAUAUGGGGACACUGCAGGGCUCCUUCAGGACGGAGCUGCCUGGAGCACCUCUAUAUAUGGGGGGGAAACCCACAGAAGUCUGAUGGAUCCCCCGCAAGUUCCCUUCUGUUGUGUUGAAUGUGAAUGUUGCUGCUGCCAUUUUGAGGAUAAAUGGGCAUUUUCCCAUGGAACAGCCAAACUGAACUUCUGCCUCUGUAGACCUGGGCUGUUCCAGGUCUCACAACGACCUGCUCAACCAGGAGUUGGUUUUUGGAGGUGGGAGGAGGUCCAUCGUACUCCCUCUUUUCCACCAUUGUUGUUCCAAUGGCAUCAAAGGAGAAAGCACGCACGGGCUGGAAAUAGCCAGGACAGGUCAGUGGUGGUUCUCCAACCCAAAAACCAAAACCCAUCUCGUCAUCAAAGAACCAUAGGAUGGUUGGGUUGGAAGGG